GGGUUGUGAGGUUAAGCGACUAAGCGUACACGGUGGAUGCCCUGGCAGUCAGAGGCGAUGAAGGACGUGCUAAUCUGCGAUAAGCGUCGGUAAGGUGAUAUGAACCGUUAUAACCGGCGAUUUCCGAAUGGGGAAACCCAGUGUGUUUCGACACACUAUCAUUAACUGAAUCCAUAGGUUAAUGAGGCGAACCGGGGGAACUGAAACAUCUAAGUACCCCGAGGAAAAGAAAUCAACCGAGAUUCCCCCAGUAGCGGCGAGCGAACGGGGAGCAGCCCAGAGCCUGAAUCAGUGUGUGUGUUAGUGGAAGCGUCUGGAAAGGCGCGCGAUACAGGGUGACAGCCCCGUACACAAAAAUGCACAUACUGUGAGCUCGAUGAGUAGGGCGGGACACGUGGUAUCCUGUCUGAAUAUGGGGGGACCAUCCUCCAAGGCUAAAUACUCCUGACUGACCGAUAGUGAACCAGUACCGUGAGGGAAAGGCGAAAAGAACCCCGGCGAGGGGAGUGAAAAAGAACCUGAAACCGUGUACGUACAAGCAGUGGGAGCCUCUUUAUGGGGUGACUGCGUACCUUUUGUAUAAUGGGUCAGCGACUUAUAUUCUGUAGCAAGGUUAACCGAAUAGGGGAGCCGAAGGGAAACCGAGUCUUAACUGGGCGUUAAGUUGCAGGGUAUAGACCCGAAACCCGGUGAUCUAGCCAUGGGCAGGUUGAAGGUUGGGUAACACUAACUGGAGGACCGAACCGACUAAUGUUGAAAAAUUAGCGGAUGACUUGUGGCUGGGGGUGAAAGGCCAAUCAAACCGGGAGAUAGCUGGUUCUCCCCGAAAGCUAUUUAGGUAGCGCCUCGUGAAUUCAUCUCCGGGGGUAGAGCACUGUUUCGGCAAGGGGGUCAUCCCGACUUACCAACCCGAUGCAAACUGCGAAUACCGGAGAAUGUUAUCACGGGAGACACACGGCGGGUGCUAACGUCCGUCGUGAAGAGGGAAACAACCCAGACCGCCAGCUAAGGUCCCAAAGUCAUGGUUAAGUGGGAAACGAUGUGGGAAGGCCCAGACAGCCAGGAUGUUGGCUUAGAAGCAGCCAUCAUUUAAAGAAAGCGUAAUAGCUCACUGGUCGAGUCGGCCUGCGCGGAAGAUGUAACGGGGCUAAACCAUGCACCGAAGCUGCGGCAGCGACACUAUGUGUUGUUGGGUAGGGGAGCGUUCUGUAAGCCUGUGAAGGUGUGCUGUGAGGUAUGCUGGAGGUAUCAGAAGUGCGAAUGCUGACAUAAGUAACGAUAAAGCGGGUGAAAAGCCCGCUCGCCGGAAGACCAAGGGUUCCUGUCCAACGUUAAUCGGGGCAGGGUGAGUCGACCCCUAAGGCGAGGCCGAAAGGCGUAGUCGAUGGGAAACAGGUUAAUAUUCCUGUACUUGGUGUUACUGCGAAGGGGGGACGGAGAAGGCUAUGUUGGCCGGGCGACGGUUGUCCCGGUUUAAGCGUGUAGGCUGGUUUUCCAGGCAAAUCCGGAAAAUCAAGGCUGAGGCGUGAUGACGAGGCACUACGGUGCUGAAGCAACAAAUGCCCUGCUUCCAGGAAAAGCCUCUAAGCAUCAGGUAACAUCAAAUCGUACCCCAAACCGACACAGGUGGUCAGGUAGAGAAUACCAAGGCGCUUGAGAGAACUCGGGUGAAGGAACUAGGCAAAAUGGUGCCGUAACUUCGGGAGAAGGCACGCUGAUAUGUAGGUGAAGUCCCUUGCGGAUGGAGCUGAAAUCAGUCGAAGAUACCAGCUGGCUGCAACUGUUUAUUAAAAACACAGCACUGUGCAAACACGAAAGUGGACGUAUACGGUGUGACGCCUGCCCGGUGCCGGAAGGUUAAUUGAUGGGGUUAGCGGUAACGCGAAGCUCUUGAUCGAAGCCCCGGUAAACGGCGGCCGUAACUAUAACGGUCCUAAGGUAGCGAAAUUCCUUGUCGGGUAAGUUCCGACCUGCACGAAUGGCGUAAUGAUGGCCAGGCUGUCUCCACCCGAGACUCAGUGAAAUUGAACUCGCUGUGAAGAUGCAGUGUACCCGCGGCAAGACGGAAAGACCCCGUGAACCUUUACUAUAGCUUGACACUGAACAUUGAGCCUUGAUGUGUAGGAUAGGUGGGAGGCUUUGAAGUGUGGACGCCAGUCUGCAUGGAGCCGACCUUGAAAUACCACCCUUUAAUGUUUGAUGUUCUAACGUUGGCCCCUAAUCGGGGUUGCGGACAGUGUCUGGUGGGUAGUUUGACUGGGGCGGUCUCCUCCUAAAGAGUAACGGAGGAGCACGAAGGUUGGCUAAUCCUGGUCGGACAUCAGGAGGUUAGUGCAAUGGCAUAAGCCAGCUUGACUGCGAGCGUGACGGCGCGAGCAGGUGCGAAAGCAGGUCAUAGUGAUCCGGUGGUUCUGAAUGGAAGGGCCAUCGCUCAACGGAUAAAAGGUACUCCGGGGAUAACAGGCUGAUACCGCCCAAGAGUUCAUAUCGACGGCGGUGUUUGGCACCUCGAUGUCGGCUCAUCACAUCCUGGGGCUGAAGUAGGUCCCAAGGGUAUGGCUGUUCGCCAUUUAAAGUGGUACGCGAGCUGGGUUUAGAACGUCGUGAGACAGUUCGGUCCCUAUCUGCCGUGGGCGCUGGAGAACUGAGGGGGGCUGCUCCUAGUACGAGAGGACCGGAGUGGACGCAUCACUGGUGUUCGGGUUGUCAUGCCAAUGGCACUGCCCGGUAGCUAAAUGCGGAAGAGAUAAGUGCUGAAAGCAUCUAAGCACGAAACUUGCCCCGAGAUGAGUUCUCCCUGACUCCUUGAGAGUCCUGAAGGAACGUUGAAGACGACGACGUUGAUAGGCCGGGUGUGUAAGCGCAGCGAUGCGUUGAGCUAACCGGUACUAAUGAACCGUGAGGCUUAACCUUACAACGCCGAAG
rnacentral:rRNA from 1 species